UACGGAGGGGGCUAGCGUUGUUCGGAAUUACUGGGCGUAAAGCGCACGUAGGCGGCUUUGCAAGUCAGAGGUGAAAGCCCGGGGCUCAACCCCGGAAUUGCCUUUGAGACUGCAUCGCUAGAAUUGUGGAGAGGUAAGUGGAAUUCCGAGUGUAGAGGUGAAAUUCGUAGAUAUUCGGAAGAACACCAGUGGCGAAGGCGGCUCACUGGCCCGGUACUGACGCUCAGGUGCGAAAGCGUGGGGAGCAAACAGG
rnacentral:rRNA from 1 species